UAAUCAAGGACAAGUGAGAUCAUCUUUUGGAAACCCGAUUAGAUUAAUGGCAUGCACAUGUGGCUAAGGAGAGGUUGCUAUAAAAACCUGGUAUGGACUACUUGUAAUUCAUUAGUCUUAAGGAGUGUGUGGAACAGGAGUCAUUACACUUAACCAAAAAAUGGAUCAAGGCAGAAGAAAACGCUCAAAAAACUUCAGUGAAUUUGAGAAGACCCUUUUUAAACAAAUUGUAUCAAAUUAUCCUGUAAUUGAAAACACACAGCAUGAUUCAGGUACAGAAAACAAGAAGAAGAAGGCAUGGAUUUCCAUAUUGAAUCAAUUCAACUCAAAUGAAAAAGUAACCAAACGGACACUCCAACAAGUUCAGGUCCUGUGGAAAAACAUAAAAAUAAACCUG